UCCCAGCUCAUUGACGCAAACAUUGGACUCCAGGAAGAGCAAGACUUCGCCCAGAUCAUCCCAGUCUUUGUGCCUCCAUUCAGAAGAACUAGAGGACCGAUUCUCGUCACAGAGCGGCCAAACAAAGAGUCAGAUCUGCUGGACAAGUUCCCUGGCUUGUUCCGAACUCAAAAUGAAGUGAUCGAUCACCGUGAAAGUGGACGACUGGAUACAUCUACCUCAUACCAUGGCUGUUGUUCAUCGUAA
rnacentral:sRNA from 1 species